rnacentral:rRNA from 1 species
AUUGAACGCUGGCGGAAUGCUUUACACAUGCAAGUCGAACGGCAGCACGGGGCAACCUGGUGGCGAGUGGCGAACGGGUGAGUAAUACAUCGGAACGUGCCCAAUCGUGGGGGAUAACGUAGCGAAAGUUACGCUAAUACCGCAUACGAUCUACGGAUGAAAGCGGGGGAUCGCAAGACCUCGCGCGAGUGGAGCGGCCGAUGUCAGAUUAGGUAGUUGGUGGGGUAAAGGCUCACCAAGCCAACGAUCUGUAGCUGGUCUGAGAGGACGACCAGCCACACUGGAACUGAGACACGGUCCAGACUCCUACGGGAGGCAGCAGUGGGGAAUUUUGGACAAUGGGCGCAAGCCUGAUCCAGCCAUUCCGCGUGCAGGAUGAAGGCCUUCGGGUUGUAAACUGCUUUUGUACGGAACGAAACGGCGAGGCUCUAAUACAGUUUGCUAAUGACGGUACCGUAAGAAUAAGACACCGGCUAACUACGUGCCAGCAGCCGCGGUAAACG